GUAGAGGUUUGGCGUGUGGCCUGCGGGUUCCCCGGGCGGGUCGACGUGCGCUCCUCUCUGGUCUCGAGUCACCAGGACCAGAUCGAGGAUGCGGCCGACCCCCUGCCCGAUGUGGAAAGCGAAGUCUCCACCUCGUGAUUGGGUCUCUGCUGUCAGAGAGCUUCACGAGCUUGAGGGGAAACAGACAGAGAGGUCUGGGCAUUGGGCAGUUUCCCGCCUCCCAGCCCCGCGCACUGAACAGACUGUGACCAGAACUGCGAACAAAGCGCGGAGGGAAGCUCUUAAAGGAGGCCAAAGCGGCCGGGCGCUGUGGCUCACACCUGUAACCCCAGCCUGUAAGCCUAGCUACUCGGGAGGCCGAGGCAGAAGGAGCGCUUGAAGCCAGGAGUUGGAAGCUGCAGUAAUCCGUGAUCGGACCGUUGCACUCUAGCCUGGGCAACAUAACGUCCUUUGAAAAAAAAAAAAAAAACAGAGGCCAAAACGGGUAGCAGUGGUGCCCGGGCACCAAGGAUGGAAGGCCUCUCUGAGGAGGUGAUGCCGAGCUGAAGCUGGGAAGCGGAUGUGAGGGAAGAGUUCCAGGCAGAGGGAAGGCAAAUGCAGAGAUCCUCAGGCAGGAACACUGAACUGUUCUCCGUAUUUGAGGAGCAGAGGGCGUGUCAGUGGUGGCCGCAGCAGCUGAGCAAAGGUCUUAGAAUCCCAGCUAAUGUCGUGGGACCUAGCACCCAAUCCCAAAAGAAAGAAGAAUAGAUAGGAACCCACUGUUGACAAGAAGGUGCACUGAGAAGUGUUUUUAUCUGACCCGAUCUGCAUCCAGUUUAGAAGCCGAUACAUCAGGGAUUUAACAAUCUGUCUUAAUGUCUAGCAAGGGGGGUUGCUGGAGGGAAAACACAGAGUCAGAGUUCUAUCUUCAGCCCUGCCAGCAGGUCCCUGGGAGAUGCUAGACGAGUGACUUUUCUCUGGGCGUGGUUGGUGUAAGGGAUGCACACGCAGGAGGAAGGUCGGAGUGUAAAUGUGUGACCUGGGCCUGUUACUGGGUAUAAAUGGGCCUGUAGUGACCGGGAGCUCAUGUUCUACCAAAGGGGUUGCCAAUUUUCUGAUUUCGAGUGUGGCGGUGUAAAAGAGAAAAGCAACUGCUGCCAGCUGGGAGCUGGUUUGCACCCUCACUCCAGAAGCCUUGAUGUUGCUAGGAGCUGACCUGGCACCAACAGCACGGCCAUGGUGGUGUCCUGUUGAGCAAAAUAAUUUCACAAAAAACAUCAGACAAGGUCACUCUCUGACUGAUCUAGAAAAAGACCAUUCCAUAAUAAAGCCUCAAUACAGAAACAAGAACAUUGUCCAAACCACAAAAAUUACCAACACAAUCCUCUCUCCCACAGCGUAAGUUACUGCUGCUUUUUUUUUGGUUGUUGUUUUUGUUUGUUUUGUUUUGUUUUUGAAAUGAAGUCUUGCUCUGUUACCCAGGCUGGAGUGCAGUGAUGCAAUCUUGGCUUACCACAACCUCCACCUCCAGGUUCAAGCGAUUCUCCUGCCUCAGCUUCCAGAGUAUCUGGGAUUACAGGCACCCACCAUCAUGCCCAGAUCAUUUCUGUAUUUUUAGUAGAGACGGGGAUUCACCAAGUUGCCCAGGUGCUUCCUGGUGGUCCUUGGUUGGAGGGUACUAUCAGAAAUGGAGGAGCAACAAAGAUUCAGCUGAAGCCCUCACUGCCUGGGACUGGGACCCUUGACUCGUCAUUGUAUGCACACCUGAAACUGCUUAUGUCGCUGAGGUGCCAACCUGCUGAUGGUUGGAAGCUAAUUGAGUUCUGAUAUUGUGUUGAUACCCUUAAGCAUUGGGUUUACUUUUUAUUUUAAUUAAUUAAUUAAUUAAUUUUUGAGACAGAGUUUCACUCUUGUUGCCCAGGCUGAAGUGCAAUGACACGAUCUCGGCUCACCGCAACCUCCGCCUCCUGGGUUCAAGCAGUUCUUCUGCCUCAGCCUCUUGAGUAGCUGGGAUUACAGGCAUGCACCACCACACCUGGCUAAUUUUAUAUUUGUAGUAGAGACAGUUUCUCCAUGUUUGUCAGGCUGGUCUCAAACUCCUGACCUCAGGUGAUCCACCCGCCUCGGCCUCCCAAAGUGCUAGGAUUACAGGCGUGAGCCACCAUGCCUGGCCAUAUUUUUUAUUUUUCAUUUUUUACUUUUUGAGAUAGGGUCUCACUCUGUUGACCAGGCUGGAGUGCAGUGGUACGACUCAGCUCACUGCAACCUCUGCUUCCCAGCUCAAGUGAUUCUCCAGUUUCAGCCUCCUGAGUA
rnacentral:lncRNA from 1 species